AUUGAACGCUGGCGGCAGGCCUAACACAUGCAAGUCGAACGAGUGGCGGACGGGUGAGUAAUGUCUGGGAAACUGCCUGAUGGAGGGGGAUAACUACUGGAAACGGUAGCUAAUACCGCAUACCAUCAGAUGUGCCCAGAUGGGAUUAGCUAGUGGGUGGGGUAACGGCUCACCUAGGCGACGAUCCCUAGCUGGUCUGAGAGGAUGACCAGCCACACUGGAACUGAGACACGGUCCAGACUCCGACGGGAGGCAGCAGUGGGGAAUAUUGCAAAAGGGGCGCAAGCCGGAGGCAGCCAGGCCGCGUGUAUGAAGAAGGCCUUCGGGUUGUAAAGUACUUUCAGCGGGGAGGCGUUACCCGCAGAAGAAGCACCGGCUAACUCCGUGCCAGCAGCCGCGGUAAUUC
rnacentral:rRNA from 1 species